rnacentral:rRNA from 1 species
UCCCGAACACAGCCGUUAAGCCCUUCAGCGCUGAUGGUACUGGGACGUGAAGUCCUGGGAGAGUAGGUCGCUGCGACUC